UUUUUUUUUUUCAUUUUUUUUCUUUUUUUUUUCAUUUUUUUUUUUUCCCUCUUUUUUUCUGUUUCGGUGG
rnacentral:ribozyme from 12 species